AACGUAGGUGACAAGCGUUAUCCGGAUUUACUGGGCGUAAAGCGCGUUCAGGCGGUUUGGCAAGUCGGGCAUGAAAUCUCCUGGCUCAACCAGGAGGGGCUGUCCGAUACUUCCAGACUUGAGGGCAGUAGAGGGUGGUGGAAUUCCGGGUGUAGUGGUGAAAUGCGUAGAUAUCUGGAGGAACACCGGUGGCGAAGGCGGCGUUCUGGACUGCAACUGACACUGAGGAACGAAAGCCAGGGGAGCAAACGGG
rnacentral:rRNA from 1 species